rnacentral:rRNA from 1 species
AAGGAGGACGGUCACCACGGUAGGAUUCAUGACUGGGGUGAAGUCGUAACAAGGUAGCCGUAUCGGAAGGUGCGGCUGGAUCACCUCCUUUC